UCCGGUUUGUCACCGGCAGUCUCCCAUGAGUCCCCAACUUAAUGCUGGCAACAUGGAACGGGGGUUGCGCUCGUUGCGGGACUUAACCCAACACCUCACGGCACGAGCUGACGACAGCCGUGCAGCACCUGCACAGGCUCCCUCGCGGGUCCCUUGGCUUUCACCGCGGUACCACCUGCAUGUCAAGCCUGGGUAAGGUUCUUCGCGUUGCAUCGAAUUAAACCACACGCUCCGCUGCUUGUGUGGGCCCCCGUCAAUUCCUUUGAGUUUUAGCCUUGCGGCCGUAGUCCCCAGGCGGGGUGCUUAUUGCGUUAGCGACGGCACCGGAGGGGUCGAUACCCCCGACACCUAGCACCCAUCGUUUACAGCGUGGACUAC
rnacentral:misc_RNA from 1 species